rnacentral:rRNA from 1 species
CAGUCGCCGCGGUAAUACCAGCACCUCGAGUGGUCAGGAGGUUUGUUGGGCCUAAAGCAUCCGUAGCCGGUUGCAUAAGUUUUCGGUUAAAUCUAUGCGCUUAACGUAUAGGCCGCCGAAAAUACUGUGCAGCUAGGGAGUGGGAGAGGUACACGGUACUCGAUAGGAAGGGGUAAAAUCCUUUGAUCUAUUGAUGACCACCUGUGGCGAAGGCGGUGUACCAGAACACGUUCGACGGUGAGGGAUGAAGGCUGGGGGAGCAAACCGGAUUAGAUACCCCUGUAGUCCCUGUCUCUUAUAC